rnacentral:misc_RNA from 1 species
GGCUGGAUCACCUCCUUUCUAAGGAGACGGCAACACCACGCAAGUGGUCGCGCCGAUGGUCGAAGUCCACAGAAGCCCGGCGCGAGCCGGGCCAAGGUGGAUGGGUCUCAGUUGAUCGCACAAAGUAAAUUUUAGGAGCACUGUUCUUUAAGACAUCACUAUAGGUACCUGUAUGGGGUCGUAGCUCAGUUGGUAGAGCACCUGCUUUGCAAGCAGGACGUCGCCGGUUCGAAUCCGGCCGGCUCCACCAAUUCCCCAGCUGGUAACUGCCAUUUUCCCAUCUUGGGCUCAUAGCUCAGUUGGUUAGAGCACACGCUUGAUAAGCGCGGGGUCGAUGGUUCAAGUCCAUCUGGGCCCACCAUCUUCCGCUCCUGGAGCCUUGGAUGGCGCAGCCAUCCAGCUGACUUGCGGAGGAUGCCCUCCGAAGCCUUGGCGAAGGAAGGCUGAAGACCGGGACUUGGCGCAAAGUGAUGAUAACAAAACCAAUUUUGUUCUUUGAAAGUUUAGGGUAGUUUUAGAGUAAGUGGGUAAAAUAAACGCCUAGAAUAUGUGAGCGUUUGCAUAAACCAGUUACAGCAAUUGAUGGAUGCCUUGGCUUCAUCAGGCGACGAAGGACGCAGCAAGCUGCGAUAAGCUUCGGGGAGCGGCACGCACGCUUUGAUC